rnacentral:rRNA from 1 species
AGUAGCAGCCAUAUCACCAUGAACGUGCCCAAUCUCGUCUGAUCUUGGAAGCUAAUCGGGGUUGGGGCUGGUUAGUACUUGGAUGGGAAAAAGGAGGAGGUGACCU